GUGGGGAAUAUUGGACAAUGGGCGAAAGCCUGAUCCAGCAAUGCCGCGUGAGUGAUGAAGGCCUUAGGGUUGUAAAGCUCUUUUACCCGGGAUGAUAAUGACAGUACCGGGAGAAUAAGCCCCGGCUAACUCCGUGCCAGCAGCCGCGGUAAUACGGAGGGGGCUAGCGUUGUUCGGAAUUACUGGGCGUAAAGCGCACGUAGGCGGCUUUGUAAGUUAGAGGUGAAAGCCCAGAGCUCAACUCUGGAAUUGCCUUUAAGACUGCAUCGCCAGAAUUGUGGAGAGGUAAGUGGAAUUCCGAGUGUAGAGGUGAAAUUCGUAGAUAUUCGGAAGAACACCAGUGGCGAAGGCGACUUACUGGACACAUAUUGACGCUGAGGUGCGAAAGCGUGGGGAGCAAAC
rnacentral:rRNA from 1 species